rnacentral:rRNA from 1 species
GUCUAUGGCCAUACCACCCUGAACGUGCCCAAUCUCAUCUGACCUUGGAAGCUAAGCAGGGUCGUGCCUGGUUAGUACUUGCAUGGGAGAGGAUGAAAAAUGAUUCACCAAGCAAGAUGAAGUUGAAA